rnacentral:lncRNA from 1 species
GCUGCUGGACUGGAGUGUGCCUCCUAGUAGACUCUGAUGGGCCAGCCUCAGGAUCCAAAAUAAAUUGAAUGUCUGGAGAUGCUGCCCUAAGGUCAAGGAGGGGUGAAGAUGGUCCUUCUUCCUCAGCUCUAUCCUCAGCUCUGUCCUUAGCUCUUUCUUCUACACCUUUAGUCCAACCACCAUCAGUCCUAGUAAAUCCCAUGCGGUGCAGAGU